rnacentral:rRNA from 1 species
AGUCAUAUGCUUGUCUCAAAGAUUAAGCCAUGCAUGUCUAAGUAUAAACAACUUUAUACUGUGAAACUGCGAACGGCUCAUUAUAUCAGCAAUAAUUUAUUUGAUGGUACCUUACUACAUGGAUAACUGUGGUAAUUCUAGAGCUAAUACAUGCGUAAAAUCCCGACUCUUGCGGGGAGGGAUGUAUUUAUUAGAUAAAAAACCAAUGCGGCCUUUGGUCGGUACUCUUGGUGAAUCAUAGUAACUUUUCGGAUCGCAUGGCUUCACGCCGGCGACAGUUCAUUCAAAUUUCUGCCCUAUCAGCUUUCGACGGUAGUGUAGUGGACUACCGUGGCAUUAA